rnacentral:rRNA from 1 species
UACGUAGGGUGCGAGCGUUAAUCGGAAUUACUGGGCGUAAAGCGUGCGCAGGCGGUUUUGCAAGUCAGAUGUGAAAUCCCCGGGCUUAACCUGGGAACUGCGUUUGAAACUACGGAGCUAGAGUGUGGCAGAGGGAGGUAGAAUUCCACGUGUAGCGGUGAAAUGCGUAGAUAUGUGGAGGAAUACCGAUGGCGAAGGCAGCCUCCUGGGCCAACACUGACGCUCAUGCACGAAAGCGUGGGGAGCAAACAGG